AAAGUAGGGGCAUCCCUUUUGGUCGUCGCUAAUAUUUUAACACAUACAGGACAAAUGUUAGCUACAAUGUAACCAUUGUGAAGAUCGUCAGGGGAUGUUUUGGAAAUCAGUGAAUUUGAGCAGUCAACGCCCCCAAAAAGCAUCGGUAAUCAUUCGUCAUCGUUUUUGCAUCAAUCGUGGCUUAGACACGGUGUAACAACAAAACAACGGAGUAAACAAUGACUGUAUAUUAGAUCUAUCUGCUGCCUUCAACACCGUGAACCAUCAGAUCCUCCUCUCCACCCUUUUAGGACUGGGUGUCUCAGGCUCUGCUAACUCUUGGAUUGCAUCCUACCUGGUGACGUGGAGAGGAUCUGUGUCUGCAUCAAGUACUCGCACUACUGGUGUCCGCAAGGGCUCAGUUCUAGGCCCCCUCCCUCUGUCUAUACACCAAGUCACUCGGGCUCUGUCAUAUCCUCACAUCAGGGAUGGGCAACUUUGAUGGGGGUGGGGGCCACAAACAAAUCUGAACUCAUGAGGGGCUGCAAUUGCGCACAGGUCUGCGUACCCAGAUCCAUACCCCCAACAUUGCAAGAAAAACAUGUGGCCCCACUCUUGACAGCAGAUAAAUAAAUACAUUUUUUGCAAUCUA